UACAGAGAUGGCAAGCGUUGUUCGGAAUUACUGGGCGUAAAGGGCGCGUAGGCGGCCAUCUAAGUCAGACGUGAAAUCCCCCGGCUUAACCUGGGAACUGCGUCUGAUACUGGAAGGCUUGAGUAUGGGAGAGGGAUGUAGAAUUCCAGGUGUAGCGGUGAAAUGCGUAGAUAUCUGGGGGAACACCGGUGGCGAAGGCGGCAUCCUGGACCGGUAUUGACGCUGAGGCGCGAAAGCUAGGGGAGCAAACGGG
rnacentral:rRNA from 1 species